CAAACUAGGGGUUUUUACAGAAAGAAGAGCCUGAUCAACUUAAAUCCCCACUCCAACAAUAGUCAAUCAUAUGUGCACACACUAACCGUUCUUGAACUCUCAAAAGGGCUCUACCUCUACCUAUACUUCAGAAUUCAUGACGGGGAAUGCUAACAAAUCAUGAUCUGGAGAGCUCAUACUGCAGAGACUCAAGUAAGCUAAAUCAUUCGGCAUUUUAUCCUGCAAACAAAGCCACUGUUUCAGCUCAGAAUCAUUCUAUAACAUAAGGCAGGUUCAAACCUAAGUCCCAUCAGUUUUGUUUGCCUCAAUCAGAACCAAAUGUUGUCCACAGAGGCUUUUGUAGUUGUGUUUCUCAUUGUCACGAGACAUUUAAUUUAGCUACAUUGAAGGUCAGUUAGGUACUAUUAUCCAUGUUUUAGAAGUGCAUUUGUUUCCUGACCAACAAAUAUUAAGCGAUAAAAACCACCUGUCUCAAGAUUACAUAUGAAGUUAGAAUCUGUAAAACAUUUGCUAAGCUUAAAAACCUUCUUUGCAUUGACUGGUUUAUUUAAGAAUUUCAGUGAUGAUGUAGCCAGAAGUUUAGGCUCAAGAAGAGAACAUAUAGCCUUGAUGUUAGGCUCAAAAAGAGGAAAAUCUAGGAAUAUUCAGAAUAUAUGCUUCCUAACCAAUAAGCUUUAGCUUAGUGGUAAUAGAUUUGUCUCCAGGACCAUGAGGUCUCAAAUUCGAGUCUCAGUCGGAACCAAUUGUAUAUAAACAAAUGCCAUGAUUUUUGUUUCCUGAGUGGAGUCAAGUCUAAGAGUACCUAAAAUGGCAUUUAAAUUUGCUUUUGGAUUGAAGCAACAUGGUCCCGGAACCCCUGAAAUCAUACAAAUAAAUGGAAUUUUGAGGCCUUAUUCUGGAAUGCUGCUCAAACAUAAUAGAAAAAAUUACAUACAUCCUCAGACUAACUAUUCCAUGACCUCCAAAUUUCAUUGUUUUGUCUACAAAUGCUUCUGGGCAAUUUUACUCAUAGACAGUCCACCAAUGGUUAAUGCAAGGGCUACUAACUAAAGUGACACAAACACUCGGAAAUCAAUAUAGAACAUUCCAUCCAUUCAAUGCAUCAGAUAUUCCAUGUGGCUAAGUUAUCAUGAAAGGUUGGUGAUUAAGAAUCUGCGAAAGAAAAAUAAUGAAUGACCACAACAUCCCAUUUGGCCUUACCAACGCUUUUCGUCCCAUUAAAUGAGUGGGGACUAAAACCAAUUACUGAACCUAUGUAGCACAUCAGAUAUUUAAGGCUUCGAGCCACUCAAAACAAAUUUGUUGAGCAAGAAAGGACAUCGUAGCACACUGUAUUCUAGCUAAUCACUGGGCUAAAGCUUAUGAAUACAACACAAUGAUUGGCUUAAAACUACAAGUGCGAAAGAUACUGACGGACUAUAAAAUUAGUUGGAACACCCAUCCACCAGGACUAUUUACACUUUAUAUCAAUAGUUCUUCUAUAGGAAACCCAGAAAAGGAUGGUUAGGUGUUCUCAUUCCUCCACAGAGUUUCCACAUCCCAGUUAGAAUCUCACAUAUACAGUGCUACUAUACUUUGCUUUUGGAGGAGCUGGAGCUUGCCUUCCAGUUCUCCACUAUACUUUUAUGGAAGUUACUAUUGCUACUGCUUAGUUGAUAAAAACGUCCCUUUGAAAUAAAAAGGGGAAACUCACAUAAACAGUGCUACUAUACAUUGCUUUUGGAGGAGCUGGAGCUCUCAAUUAUUCACUAUAUUUUUAUGGCAAUUACUAUUGCCACUGCUUAGUUGACAAAAACGUCCAUUUGAAAUAAAAAGGGGGAAAGAAAAAAUUUGGCGCUGCAUGCUAUGGUUUUAAGGAAUUCAUAGCCCACAAGAAUCCACGAUCUCUCCUCUUACGAGUUUAGGCAAACACACCAACAAUAAUGGAAGAAAAUUAACACAUCCUUAGCAUGAGACCAAAUAUCAAGAAUACAAUAAAUUUCCCUAAGAAAAUGAAAAUAUGAACUGACCUUUUUAUGCAAAUGGACCAGUUUACUGAAGCAGCGCUCGAUAGAUGGGUAGAAAAGUAACUUCAGAGAGGAGAAGAAGCCAUUGAAGGGAAGGUUCACUGCAAAUGGGGAAAAAAAAAUUUGGACCAUUUCU
rnacentral:misc_RNA from 1 species